GCGCUUGUCUCUGUAGUGCAUGCACUAAAAUCGGAACAACACAGAGAGGAUUAGCAUGGCUCCAGAGCAAGGAUGGCACGCAAAUUCAUGAAGCAUCCCAUAUUUUU